rnacentral:ncRNA from 1 species
AUGUUAGUGGUGUUUCCUACUUUCAGUCGUCAGCAUCACUGGCUGAGGGGAAAUAAUCCUUGGAUGCUAAUUGGUUCGCUAUCUGUGAAUUGGUUGCUUCCUUGCGAUACUCACUACUCGGUCAGUGAGGAAGUGCGUUUGCUGGUCAACGAGCUUUCUAACUGUCAUUACCCUGCGCUUUUCGAUUCGUCGAGUGGCCAGGAUGUGGCUUUGAGAUUGUUCGCACUUAGUAAUCGCGAUGCUGGCUUCCAACGGUUGCCUCCGGCCCGUCUUGAAACACGGACCAAGGAGUCUAACGUAUGUGCGAGUGUGUGAGUGGCAAACUUAUACGCGUAAUGAAAGUGAGGCCGUAUGGCCAUGUUGGGGUCACCAACAACCGACCUUGAUCUUCGGUGAAAGGUUUGAGUAUGAGCAUAUCCGUUAGGACCCGAAAGAUGGUGAACUAUGCCUGAGCAGGGUGAAGCCAGGGGAAACUCUGGUGGAGGCUCGUAGCGAUACUGACGUGCAAAUCGUUCGUCAGACUUGGGUAUAGGGGCGAAAGACUAAUCGAACCAUCUAGUAGCUGGUUCCCUCCGAAGUUUCCCUCAGGAUAGCUAGAGUCUUUAUCAGUUUUGUCAGGUAAAGCGAAUGAUUAGAGGUUCCGGGGAAGUAACUUCCUCGACCUAUUCUCAAACUUUAAAUGGGCAAGAUCCAGUAGUUACUUAAUUGAACUAUUGGGGUCAAUGAGACGACUCUAAGUGGGCCAUUUUUGGUAAGCAGAACUGGCGAUGAGGGAUGAACCUAACGCUCGGUUAAGGUGCUAAACUGCUCGCUCAUCAGAUACCACAAAGGGUGUUGGUCGAUCUUAACAGCAGGACGGUGGUCAUGGAAGUCGAAAUCCGCUAAGGAGUGUGUAACAACUCACCUGCCGAAUCGACUAGCCCCGAAAAUGGAUAGCGCUGAAGCGAGUGACCGAUACCGGCC